rnacentral:rRNA from 3 species
CGGGAAGGGAUAAACGCUGAAGGCAUCUAAGCGUGAAGCCCCCCUCAAGAUGAGAUAUCCCAUUCGAAAGAAGUAAGACCCCUUGAAGACGACGAGGUAGAUAGGGCAGAGGUGGAAGUGCCGUAAGGCAUGGAGCUGACUGUUACUAAUCGGUCGAGGGCUUGACCUGA